GUGAGGCAGGCAGCACAUAUACUAAAACUGGAACGAUACAGAGACGAUACAUCCUUGGCCCCUGCACAUGGAUGACAUGCAAAUUUGAGAAGCAUUCCAUAAUAUA
ensembl:snRNA U6 U6 spliceosomal RNA